UCCUAAAGAAUUAAAACUUGCGUCUUCAAGCAAGAAUGAACUAGAAGAAGAGAACAAGAUGCUUAAAGACCGGGUGAAAGCUCUAGAAGAUUCAUUUAAGGAAUUUAUGCAAUUUAGGAGUCAAGAUCAACCUUCUACAUCUCAAUCUACUCAGGUCAAUGAGACAACAAGACUCUAAAGGAAGCAACUGCUGUCUUGGAGUACAUGAACAGUUUUAUGACUAUAUAUAGUGUUUUGUUGUACAUUUUUUAAUAGUAUAUAUGAUUGUUAAAGUGUUAUUUUUAGUUGAAUAUCUUUUUUGGUGUAUAUUUUUGAAUAGUAUAUACAAUUGUCAAAGUGUUAUUUUUAGUU